rnacentral:rRNA from 1 species
UGUGGUUACAAUAGCAGAGAGGAUACACCUGUUCCCAUUCCGAACACAGAAGUUAAGCUCUCUAGCGCUGAUGGUACUUGGUGGGGAAACUGCCUGGGAGAGAGGACGUAGCCACGU